UCUGAAAUCUUAAACUUGUUGAGU
rnacentral:miRNA from 1 species